GAUCCUGGCUCAGGAUGAACGCUAGCGGCAGGCUUAAUACAUGCAAGUCAAGGGGGUAGCAAUACAACCGGCGCACGGGUGAGUAACGCGUACACAACAUACCAUAUACUGGAGUAUAGCUUUGGGAAACUGAAGGUAAUCCUCCAUAACAUUGCGAGAGGGCAUCUGAUUGCAAUUAAAGUUCCGGCGGUAUAUGAUUGGUGUGUGUUUGAUUAGCUAGUUGGUAGGGUAACGGCCUACCAAGGCGACGAUCAAUAGCUGGCGUGAGAGCGCGACCAGCCACACUGGAACUGAGACACGGUCCAGACUCCUACGGGAGGCAGCAGUAGGGAAUAUUGGACAAUGGGCGAAAGCCUGAUCCAGCCAUGCCGCGUGAUAGAUGAAGGCCCUCUGGGUUGUAAAUAUCUUUUAUCUGGGAAGAAACUCCUCUAUUCUUAGAGGCCUGACGGUACCAGAGGAAUAAGCACCGGCUAACUCCGUG
rnacentral:rRNA from 1 species